UGACACAAGAAUUUUAUAUAUAAGAUAAGAACUCAGAGUUUGACUAGCGUAUAUCACAGUUAAAUCAUGGAUUAAUUUGAAAUAGAAGUUACAUAAAAUAUUGGCGAUCUCAAGUGUGGGCUGGAAGAACAUUCAAAAUGUGGCAAAAUAUAUAUAAUAUUAAUACUAUUCUACAAAAUAUAGCAGCGGUUUUUGGCUCAACAAAAACCGGGCACUCUUUAAUAAUGUGUGGUACGGAAGGCUGCGCCCCUGGAUAGCAGUUACCUCGUGCAGAAACCCAUUCAGGAUCUGAUUACCGGUGUUCCUGUCAUUAAUGGAUCGUCACCGAGUACGUGGCGCCUGCAGUUAUUAAAAGUUGAUUAAUCUCGUAAAACUAUGUCGAGUCAUAUAAAAAUAUGUAAAC